AAAAAAGUUUUUAAUCCACUUGAUCCCCUUUCCCCUUUGCCCUAAUUGUCCUUGGAGGAGGCCGCGCGUGUAGGAGAUUUCGUUGUCAUGAUUUCCGACAAGGUAAGGUCUUCACCUCUCUCUUCCAACUCCGACGAGUCUCCCGACACUCGGCCGACGGCAACUGGCACUGGUCGACCGCGGGAACCUGCGGCUGGCCCUGGCGAGGGAGGAGUCUAAAGCACAAGAGGGAUUGCUCCUGGCGAGGGACAUCCGGUGAUGAUGUUGAGCGGAAGGAAUCAGUUAUGGUAUCAUCGCUAAAAUCAUCGUUGGAGGAAGUGUGUAGCCUAGAAGACUUGAUGGAGAGAAUGGAGCUCUAUUUGAGCAAAAAAGUUGCAAGGAGGCCCUCAUUAGGAUGAGUCAAGUUUGCAAGAGUUUCUAUCAAAAAUAAUGCAUGGGGAAGGAAAUCUUCUAGUACAUCUUCUCACUCUGGGUUACAAAGUGAAUCACCAGCAAGUAAUAUGGUUUCAUGUUCAUCCAAUUUUAUAGCCAUCUUUUGAAAAUGCUUUCAGCUACUUUUUGUUAUGCAGUUCCAUUUUUUGUUUACGCUUCUCAUUUGUGUGCUUUGUAUGUUUAACAAACAUCUCUUUACUAACAGAAUCCAAUUUCAGAAUAUGAGUUUAAUGUGAAAGAUUUAUCUGAAGAAAUUCAGGAUGGUGUAGUGCUUUCUAGGGCUAUUCAACUAUUGCAAAAUGAUGCAUCUAUACUAUAAGAAAAAAAGGAUAUUGGAAGGAGAUAGAGAAAAUUUAGUGAUGUUUGGAUAUUUGUUGAUGUAUGGAUAGUUUAGAACUUCUUAUAUUGUUUGGAUUUUGUGGAUAUUUUGUGAUGUUUGGAUUUGAUGUAUAAAUUGUAAUUUGAUUUAAUGUAUAAUUUUAUUUUGUUAGA